UAAACACUGGUACUGAUCCUAAGAGUCAAAAUAAAGAUUUCUGUUCAAGGAGUGAAUGUAACUAAAAGCUGGGGGAGGAGUCACUAUGGCAGCACAAAUUGUCAUUUGAGUCCUAAAUGGCAGAGAAUUAAGCAGUAAAACUUCAGUGGCUUGAUCUAUAUACCAACACAGGUUUACAGGUUUAAUUACAGAAACACGUUUGUUUCUGGCCCCUCUUCAUAGAGAUUAAAUGUUUAAAAUUAUCUUUCCCUCUCC